rnacentral:rRNA from 1 species
AACGUAGGAGCCUAGCGUUAUCCGAAUUUACUGGGCGUAAAGCGCGUGCAGGCGGCUGAGUAAGUGGAUUGUGAAAUCUCCCGGCUCAACUGGGAGGGGACGGUCCAAACUGCUUGGCUGGAGGCAGGUAGAGGGAGGUGGAAUUCCCGGUGUAGUGGUGAAAUGCGUAGAGAUCGGGAGGAACACCAGUGGCGAAGGCGGCCUCCUGGACCUGACCUGACGCUCAGACGCGAAAGCUAGGGGAGCGAAC